GACGAACGCUGGCGGCGUGCCUAAUACAUGCAAGUAGAACGCUGAAGAGAGGAGCUUGCUCUUCUUGGAUGAGUUGCGAACGGGUGAGUAACGCGUAGGUAACCUGCCUUGUAGCGGGGGAUAACUAUUGGAAACGAUAGCUAAUACCGCAUAACAAUGGAUGACACAUGUCAUUUAUUUGAAAGGGGCAAUUGCUCCACUACAAGAUGGACCUGCGUUGUAUUAGCUAGUAGGUGAGGUAAUGGCUCACCUAGGCGACGAUAUAUAGCCGACCUGAGAGGGUGAUCGGCCACACUGGGACUGAGACACGGUCCAGACUCCUACGGGAGGCAGCAGUAGGGAAUCUUCGGCAAUAGGGGCAACCCUGACCGAGCAACGCCGCGGGAGUGAAGAAGGUUUUCGGAUCGUAAAGCUCUGUUGUAAGUCAAGAACGGGUGUGAGAGUGGAAAGUUCACACUGUGACGGUAGCUUACCAGAAAGGGACGGCUAACUACGUG
rnacentral:rRNA from 1 species